CCGCUUACCGGGAAAUAAGCGUGAGCGGUGUGGUGUGUCGCACGGGGCGGUUCAUGGCCGCCCGAGGGGCUACGGAGCGUUUCGCGCCCUCCCCGGAGGGGUGGAGUGGGGAUGGGGAGCGCUGGGUUUGGGAAGUUACUCGGUGACUUUGUUCACUCAGCAACAAAAAGCAAGUAACUUGGUGGUUUUUUUCGCAGUAUCCACACGUGCAGCUGGAUGUAAUGAAGCUUUCUGUGGAUGUUGCAGCAGUGUGUUUGCAGUGGAAGUUCGUUUCAAUGGAUGGUGGUGUCCCUUCUCUUCUGCUGAUUGAAUUCGGGUAAAAAUAGAACUGUUGGAAGGGACCUACAACAAUCAUCUAAUCUAACUGCCUCGAUCACUUCAAAGAAAUAAAGUAUGUUCCUCAGGACAUUGUCUGAGUGCCUCUUAAACAUUGUCAGGCUCAAAGGAUUGACCACCUCUUUAGGAAGCCUGUUUCAAGGUUUGACCACCUUCUCAGUGAACAAAUGCUUCCCGAUGUCCAGUCUGAACCUUCCCUGGUGCAGCUCUGAUCUGUUCCCACAUGUACUAUGACUGAUCUUGGAAGAGAUCAGCACCCCUCUCUUCACUUCUCCUCAGGAAGGCGUAGAGAACAAUGUGGUUGUUCCUCAGUCUCCUUUCCAAACUAGUUAACAUCAAAAUCUUCAGUCACUCCUCAUAGGACAUCCGUUCCAGCCUUUCUACCAUCCUGGUUGCUCUCCUCUGGACACAUACAAGGACCUCAAUAUCCUUCUUAAAUUAUGGACCAGUACUGCAUACAGCAGUCAAGGUGAGGUCAUACCAAUGCUGAAUUCAGAGGCCUAAUCCCCUCUCUUGACAGGCUGGUGAUGCUGCGUUUGAUGCACCCCAGGAUGUGGUUUGAUCUCUUGGAUGCUGGGACACUCUUGGAUGACUUGCACUGAUCCUGCUGCCAACCAGCAACACCAGACCCCUUUCUGCAGGGCUGCUCUAAGCCACUCCUCUCCCAGUUUGUCCUGGAUGCAGAAUUUAGUAUUUGGACUUGUUAAAUUUCACCUCAUUGAUGAUUAUCUAACGCUCCCAUCUAUCUAGAUUCUUCUGCAAGGUCUCUUGCUUCUCUAUGGAGUCAAAUAGUACCUUCCCGUUUGGUGUUAUCAGCAAACUUGCAAAUAGUGUUUUCAACUCCAUAGAAUGUCAGAGCUUGGGACAACUGAGACAUUUGGCUGCCUCUACUACUGAGUAGUAGUAGAGUUCCAUGACAGAAAUUUAUUUAUAAAUAAAGUAGGUACUGUAAGGAAAUGAAAUAGAGGGAAUUAAAACAUGAAUUUGAACUGAAAAGUUCAAGAUAAAAACAUCAAGGUUUAAAACCACAAGUUCAAGGUAAAAAACAUCAAGGUUUAGCAGAAACAUAGGUGUUCUUUUAAGAGUGCUCUGAGGUAACUUAAUUUUGCACAUAAUAAUUACCUUUAAGUAUUUUAAAAUUUUGGAUAUAAUUGUUUGCAGUAACAAAUGUAUAAAACCCAUUAUGAAAGGCUUGUAUGAACUUAUGACCUAAUCUGCAAGGAAAUGAAUCUGCUGCAUAGUUUUAUGUAACUGUCUUAUUUGAGUGUCUAAAUGAAAGGAGAACUUGGAAGAGCUUCUGUGGUAUUAGAUAAAUGUCAUCUUUAGAGAUGGCAACAUAAUAAUUUGAGAUAGGUAUCCUUUUUAUGAAAUACAAUGUUUUCAUCAUUUUAAUGGGAUGAAUAUAAUUUUAUGUCUUAAGUAAUGAAGGAAACUCAGUAGUCCCAAAACUUAACAUGAUGUGCUAUAUUUACUAUUCUGGAAUAGAAGUUAGGUAGCUGUUGCUAUGUUUGAACAGUUGGUGGCUCCAAUGCUUUGCAGCUACCACAAUGCACACUGCUGAAACAAGUUAGUUCGAGUCUAGCUGUACUGAACUAGUUAGAAGUGUAAAAGGAAAAUUGGAAUCAGGAACUUAGUAAAUAGCCAAGCACUUGCAUUUUACGCCACUAGGUAAAUAUCUCCUUUUUACUUCUUAGAUAAGCAUAAACUCCACUAAUGCUGUCUAGCUUAAGAUAAAUUAUAAAGGGGCUCCUUUACAAAGUGCCAGUUCAUAAUCAGUAGCAAUAUUAUUAAAAACAGCAUAGCUGGCAGCAUCCCUGCUCUAUAUUGCAGCAUCAUACAGGUAGACAGAUGACGGCUAUCCUGGCCAAGAAAAAGAAGGGAGAGAAUAAUCAAUCCAUUUCUGGAAAAGCGGCAGAGAUGACCAUGUAGACAGUCUUUAAACUGAGACUUGCUCAAGUGCUUAUGUACCUAAAAGGGAGAACUACUUUUGUUUGGGUGUGGAAAUAAAGGAUUUAGUGGGCACUAGUGCUUGAUAAAGCAAGAUGGCAACUUAUAAACAGAAGAGCAGGUGCUCAAAGUGCUGUCUUUUUAGUCAUUGCAGGAGCAUUUAAUAAAAAUCUCAAAGGGGAUGAAAAAGGUGAAAAAUGUUGGUCCUGGAAGUGUGGAGGAAGUCUAAAAUAAAUGUGUAGACAUGAGACUAGAAACUUCUGGUGAUUACUUUUUCCAGCUUUUUGACCCCCAAAAAUAUGACUGGAGAGGUGGAACAGUACUUCACAUGUUUUCCAUGUUCUGGAGAAAAGGAAAAUGUAGGAUUUAUUUUUGUUCACCAGUGCUGGAAAACUACAGUUGGUCUAUUUUUUAUGAAAUAUUUGUAUUAUGCCAUCCUGAACUGCUAUAGGUAGUCUGUUACUGUUUUCCUUUCUGCCUUCUUUUUCAUCUGGAUUGUUAUUAACAUGCUUUGUUCUUGAAACUUCUGUAGUUUAUGGUAGAAACAGCACUGCAGGAGAAUCACAGGGAAUGCAGACUUGCAGGUACAGCAUGGCCUUCCAAAUCAGAGUGAUGUAAAGAGUAGUUUGAGAAGACACAGUGAAUGAAAUCACAUAGUGACCCAAAGUUACAUGCAAGUGCAGUCUAGGUGUAGCAUUUUUUUUCUGUAUGGUUGAAUAUUAUGUGAUGUUUGAGGCUGAAAAAGAAGGGGGUAGAGGAUUUGAGGAGUCUUUUUAAUGUGCAAACUUACUAAGACAUAUCAUUUUUAUUUCCUUCUGUUUCUGGAGGAGAUGAACAAAAAUAGCCCUCCUGAUCAGAAUUUGUAUGUCCAUUUGGAUUGCUGUAUAGCAUUAUACUAUCUUAGCAAUAUUUCAUCAAACAAUGUAUACUAGCAAGGUGAAGGGAAGAAGUAUCAGUUCAAUACCUAGCCUCACUUGUUUUCUUCUUGAAUUAACAUCUUUGAACUAACUUCUUUAUAUUAUAUUCAUCUAAAAGCUGUACUUGAAGACAAGACUCCAGUCUUCAAUAUAGAGAUACAAUAUUUACUGGAGAACUCCCUUAGCAUUUCUUCUAAGCCUAUAAAAAUUCUUUCCAAGUGUGUUCUGUGAUCACUUUUUCCUAGUUUUAAUAAUAUUUUUAUUAUUUUAACAUUAAUUGUUGGUAAGUUUUAUUGAAACCAGGUAGUACUAAGAUUGAAUUUACAUGCUGGUAUUAUCUACACAGUACUCCAAACAGCUAGUGGACAACAGGCAGACUAAGACCUUGAAGUGCUUGUAUGCUGCACUGACUAAUUCUUGUUCCUACAGUGGACUCCAAAGUAGCAAAUUACAUGUAAUAUAUAGCUUCCAUGAAAUAUAUGUUAAUGCUAUUGAGAAGAUGGGAAAAACACACCAAUCUGAGACCCUCAUCUAGGACUAGUUGGCUCAUUAAUGAGGAUCGGUUUAGUUUCAGUUUGUGGAAGAUUUUGUGUCUUCAAGAAAAAUAAUGAGGUCUUCUGUGUGGCAGUACGAUGAAGUAGGAAAAUUUGUGGUGUCUAUGUAUCUCCUUAACCACACUAUUUUUUUUUCUUUAAUGAGGUCAUUUGCCUUACUUUUUCUAGAUACUGGUUUCAUUUUGCUGUUUAAUACAAAAUGAGAAACAAACUUGAGGCAUGCUUCAAAAGUAGUUCAGGGAUGGCAGUAUUCAUAAAACCUUGUGUGGUGAAUGGCUUUGAUACAUUAUUUCCACUUGAAGAUUUCUCCUAUAACAGGCAUUUUGGAUAACAGAAGAAAAAUACCUAUUAACAAAUAACUAGAAAUUAUAGCUGUUAACUUCAUUACACAAUGUCUUUUUAAAAAAAAAAAUAAGAGACUGGAAAUUGACUUCACAUUGUCAAUUUCAUUAUCAAGUUAAUAAAGUUUUUGUGUGCUGAUGGAAGUUGUGUCCUGAUAAAUAUAUACUGGUCCAUGAAAAAACACAAUAUGUGGUUGGGCAGGAGGUUCAACAGCCUUUGAAUAGAAAGCUGUGGUGGUAUUUUGUUUAUUUAUAAUGCAGGAAGAGAUCAGUGCUAGCAUUUUUAGAUUAAAUUCUUGGUCAUAUGUAGAAAGGGUAUCCCACUUGGUAGAUUAGUGUUCUGGUUUUCCCCAGUCCAGCUGCUACAACUACUACAGUGCACGUUAAGGUAGUAUCAGAGAUUCCUUGCGUAGCCUUUCCCCUUAAAAAAUACAUUAAUAUCUUGCAUGUUCACUUGGGGGAGAGGUGGGAAAGUUUGGAUCCGUGUCAGACAGAGAGGCAGCCAGUCACUUGAAUCUUCAAUCUGUGAUUGGCAUUAAAGAAAAUGAAGGUGACUGCAUUAAUUUUCUUUGAUACUUAGGUACAUAAGCUGUAACAGAGUUACUGUGUUUUGAUCUUAAUGCGAGAUCUUGAAUGAAUUCUUCACCUUAGUGUGUCAGUUCAGGGGGGACCUAAUGCUCUGGUUGGUCACCUGUUCAACACUGGCAACUGUAGCUCCUAGUAAUUUAAAAAUACAUGCCUGAGAGUUGUUACUGAUGGAAAUUUAAACCUUUACUGACUUGCAGGACUGCCUAGGUCUGUCCUGAUUUUUAAAAUGAAAAGAAAAUAAGAGAUUAAGAGUGUUCACCCCAGAAUAUCUAAGGAAGUCUCCAUGGAAACAGUGUACCUAGCAGUAAGGAGAAGUACUUUUGAAAGUAAAUGGCUGACUGCUGAGCUAUGUUUGAAGUAUAAAUUAUUAAAUGAAUAAAACCUUUAUGAAAAUAGAUGUGCAAUUACCUUCUGGAUACAGUACUCUGAAGUGAGUACUGGAAUUUGGAAUUAAUGUGAAUAAUGGAAGCUGUGCUUGUGUAGGCAGGAUCCCAGGGCUGCACUUCUGCACCCUUUUCACUUUCACCUUAAGGGGAAGGUCAGCACUGCAGCGCUCAGUGGCGGCUGUGGUGGUGUAUGAUGGGGCGAGGACCUUUCCUCCCACCCUGUGUCCCCUAGGCGAGGGUGCACCCGCGGGAGCGGGGCAGUUCCCGGGAGCAGCGGCAGCCGGCAGGCACAGCACUCCCUCGGGUCCGCCUGGUGACGGCAGCUGGCUGAUUUCCCGGGGAAGAUGAAGAGCGUGUAGGGAGUUAUGGAGAGGCUGGGGCCUGGGACAGCAGGGAUGCUGGGACCGUAAUGCGCGGGGGAAGCCUCAAGUGAAGUUAAUGGAAGAAUAGCAUUGGCUGCCUGCUUGGGGUGGGAGGAGCAAUGCUGGUGGUCUGUGAUUGUUGAAGAUGUCCCUGAUCAACAUAGGGGAAUUGGACUAGAGGACGCUUAAAGGUCCCUCCCAAACCUCACUAUGAUUGUAAUGUACUCCUCUAUGGUCUAUAUCUGCUUCCCCAGUGUUCUCUCUCUCAUCUGUCCUUACCUGAGUUCUCAGCUGACAACUCUUUGUCGUUGCAAGCAUGAAACAAUAAUACAGUUUUCUCAUUAAGGGUUCAGAAAGAUUCUCAGUUAAAAUUCAUUUUUUUCCCCUUCUUUUAAAAAAAAUCAAGAUAUGCCAACCAACAUUUAUGAGACUUUAUCUCAAAAUCAGUUAAAACAUUUGCAAGACUAGUAUCAGCUCUUUCAGCUCUACUUUUAAUGAACCAGUAGAUGAAUUAAGAGUUGUGUGUGAAGUUUUACAGGCCUCACUAAGUUUAUGGUAUCUCCAGUUAAGUGUGUUAUUGUUAUAUGUUGUUAUGAAUACAAACACUGUGUAUCUUUUAGUCCUAUUUUACUAACUUUAUUAUCCCAGCCUAAUAUAAGAGAACUGGUUGGUGGUUUUGGAUUUUUGGUUGUGUUUUUUGUUGGUUUUUCGUUUUUUUUUUUUAUUUUUUCUUACUAUCCAUAGAAUCAUUAUAAUAGUUUUCUGUAACUGAAGAAAAAGUGGGUGAUUUUUUGUGUGGUUUUUCUUUUGUUGUUGUUCCUCCCCAUGGUGUUGCUAUAACUUCAAAAAGUCCUAUUUCAGUUCUAUGAUCCCUACUCUGUUCAAAGCUAUAUAAAAAUCAAAAGGAUGGUAUCAAACCCAAGAAAUUACAGAGAGCAUAUAUUAGAUCAGAAAUAGAAUUUGACACUGGAAGAUGAUGUGAACAUACCAGUCAGCAAAGAAGGUAGUCUGUCUUCUUAAUCAAUAAAGAACUUCCUUUACUGUGGUAUGUAUAAAAAUAAUAGUCAAAAUACUUGUUCUUCUAAAUCAGUCUUCAAAUAUUUUUUUACUAUGAGGCAGCUUAAUAGAUUCUUGAACUACUUUCAGAUACAUACAUGAGACAAAGCAGCAUGAAAGUAUAUGAUCACUUCAGAACUUGAAGAUGGAGACAGGUGCUGUAGUCCUUUGGAAGCAGGAACUCCCCUUUGCGUCCUGAGAUGGGACCGCUUAGAAGGAUAUGCAAUCAAAGCCAAGCAACUUGUGUUUGACAUGAUAAGGAGUAUGAGAAAAGUGAACGUGGUCAAAGCAACAGGUUGGAAAGGGUUAUUUUUGUAGUAACUCUCUGAAGGAAUGAAAACAGGAAAGGUGGCUAUAAAGUGUUUUCAGUUGUUAAAAAAUGACAGUCCAAAGGAGAAUGUCAUUUGUGUAGAUGAGAAGGAAAUGUAGCUGUGUGCCAAAAAUACUACUAACCUUCAUUUUAGCUUCCUGUGAUUUAGAGGGAUAAAUUGAAGAUCCUCCUCUGGCAUUGCAUGAAUGUUUCAGGUAAUAGAGUAGUAUUGUUUGUGAUUAAAGAAAAGAGGCCAAGGGAGAAUUUGUAGAAGGGGUGUUCCUAAGUCAUCUUAAGCUAGAUAUCCAUGAUGAGCCAUCAGGUGUGUAUGUUAAGGGUUUGGCCAAGAAGAUGCAAGUCUUAAUGUUCUCUCAUGAACUUCAUAUAUAUGUAUAUAUAUUCUCAUGUUAAAAUGAGAGGAGUUCCUUUCUUGUGAAAACCUGCUCCAUCACAGGCAUCUUACACGGUCACAUCCUCCUUCAGGCAUCCACUUGCUCUAGCAUGAGGUUCUCCAUGGACUGCAGGCACAUCUCUUCUCCAUCAUGGACUCAAUCACAGGUCACAGUCCUUUCAACUCAAGUUCAGAACUUGAACUGAAGUUCCAGCCUGCCCAGUACAGCAGCACAGGAACAGCAGCCCCACUCUGGCCACCUGCCAUCCCAUGGAGACACAUCUGGAUGGCUCUUAUCAAAGCAUUCCCAGGCAUGAUACAGUAAGGUGACAAGCAGUGCAGAACCAGAGCUAGCAGCAAAAGCAAAAUGUGCCCACAAAAAAGCACUAGAUCCAAAAUAUGGUCACAAAAAGUGAGUCCCAUGGUAAGAGACAGGAGCCUCCUCAUUACUAGUUAAACAGCACUAGCAAAUAUAAAUUCAGUCCAGUAUAUCCCAGAAAAAUUAAUUCAUGAAACCUGUUAGCUAAAAUACACAUUUUAAGACCCAAAUCAAGGAAGCGUUGAAGCAUAAAACCUGAAAUUAAAUUCAAUCUCCUAAUGAAGUCAAAAAUAAUUACUUCCUUCACACUUCCUAUGCUAAAGUUAUUAACAAAAAAUAAAAAUCAAAAAACCAACUCUCCAAAUCCCCGAACAAACAAAAACCCACUUCACCUUUUGGACUAAACUAAAAUCUUUCUCAUUGUGUAAGAUCUAGCCAGAACAUGUACAUUCAAUUUCAUACCAAGAACUUCCCUUUUCCCUUAAACUGCAAAGUUGGAGGAUAGAGGUUUCUCUGAAUUGCUGUUAGUAGAGGGCAUGAGAAAGUAAUGGUUCUGUUUGAAGCAAAGGGGUUCUAGAGAUUUCCCAACAUCAUCUGUUGCUGUAGGCAAACUUCCGUGUGGUUGUGUGGUAAAGGAUAAAUCUGUAAGUAGGAGCAAUUAUAUGUUUUUCUUGCAAGAAUUUUUCCCUGAAUAUAGUACUUUAUUUUCGUAAGUUUACUGUGAGUGCUGCACAUCUUGUAAUAGGUGUUGAGGAUGGCAUUUCAUCAUUUCCAGAAUUUGCUUUAUCAUCUUUAAGUUGCUGAAUAAGAUCCUGUGUUCUCUGGCUCCCAUGUUCAGGUUGUUUUCCCCAGUGAUAUUUUUCAAUAUUUUAAAAAAAGAGUAUUUUACUGAAUUAUAAGAGGUUCACCAACAACUAGCUUCCACACAAGACAUUGCAAUUUAUUUAUCAUCAUCUUUUUAACAAUGUGUAAGAACAGUAGAACAAAUUCUGUUAGAGGACAUUUCAUAUAAUCUAUGUUGGAGCUUGCUGAUUGCUGACAGAAGGAAGUUGCCAAGUUCAGGAGUAUGGAUGAUUCAGAAAUACUAGUCCUCUCCCCUUCUUAUGAGCUGUCAUUCAGUAGACUGGAUAAUGACAUUGUUUUAUUGCUUUGCUCGGUAGUGGCUGAUCUCUAGUGCCCAUUUUAAAAACUUGUGUUUCGGUUUGUUAACUGUGUUCAAAUGAAUGUGUAGAAUAAUCUACACUUAGAACUGGUUUUGCAGUCUUCUGUUGAAAUUGCUGACACGGAUUAAAGAUUUCUUUUAAA